rnacentral:rRNA from 1 species
UACGGGAGGCAGCAGUGAGGAAUAUUGGACAAUGGUCGGAAGACUGAUCCAGCCAUGCCGCGUGAAGGCAGAAGGUCCUAUGGAUUGUAAACUUCUUUUGUACGAGAGCAAUAAGUGUCACGUGUGACACGAUGAGAGUAUCGUACGAAUAAGCAUCGGCUAACUCCGUGCCAGCAGCCGGGUAAU